GAUUGAGAACCCUAGAUACUGUUCUUUUCCCUUGCCCCUUGUUUCUCUAACUUAACCUGAGACUUUGUUCCUAAGCAAUUCAAGACCAAUGCUCAGCUGGUCUGUAGUCUGGGCAGAAAGCACUCCCCCUGGUUUCAAAGCAACUUUUUUUCGUAUUUUAUCAACUAUCAUCUGAUUCUAGUCUCGAGCCACGUGGCGGCAAUCAUCUUUCAGAGACCAUGAUACCCCUCUCACGCUAGAUAUCUGAAUUCUCGGCUUGCUUGACCAGUAAGUAUGGAUAUGCGCACUUGGAUCACAAGGGAAACAGUGAAACGGGCCUCGUGCAAAACCCAACCUAACCUGAACUCAGGACCUACGCGAACCAUUGGGCCAUUGAGCGACUAGCCACGUUCGACCUUCCUAAAAGAAUUUCUAUAGCCUUGGUUAGAAAUUGAUGGUCAACUCUCUUGCACCCUUUUUCUCUUUCUGUCUCUCUCGAUCGCACAAUGGAUCAAAUACAGCACAAGCACAUUGAUGUAAGAGGAGUGAACCUUCACGUUGCCGAGAUUGGAACAGGUUCUUCAGUGGUUGUAUUUCUACAUGGUUUUCCAGAGAUAUGGUAUUCAUGGAGACAUCAAAUGAUUGCAAUCGCUGGUGCUGGAUACCGUGCAAUUGCACCUGAUUUGAGGGGAUAUGGACUAUCUGAAAACCACCCAGAACCAGAGAAAGCAGCCUUCAGCGAUUUUGUCGAUGACACCCUAGCCAUUCUUGAUUCUUUCCACAUUGACAAGGCUUUCAUUAUAGGGAAAGACUUUGGGUCCUGGCUUGUUUAUCUGCUCUCCCUUUUCCAUCCAACAAGGGUUAUUGGAGUUGUGUCGUUGGGCGUGCCUUUCUUUGCUCCUAGGCCUCAAAUGUUCCGGGACCUUCCUGAAGGUUUCUACAUUUCCCGAUGGAAGGAUCCAGGAAGAGCUGAGGCUGACUUUAGCCGUUUUGAUGUAAAAACCGUCUGGCGAAACAUCUAUAUCCUCUUCUCAAGAAGUGAAAUUCCUAUAGCAGAGAAAGGCAAGGAGAUUAUGGAUUUGGUUGAUCCAUCUAACCCAGUUCCACCAUGGUUAACCAAUGAAGAUUUCACAACGUAUGCUAAAGCAUAUGAAAAAUCUGGGUUUAGUUCCCCAAUGCAAGUCCCUUACAAGAGACUGCCUGAAGAGUUCACCAUCGAAAACCCAAAAGUGGAGGUUCCGGUGCUUCUAAUCGUGGGUAGAAAUGACUAUUUCCUCAAAUUCCCUGGGAUUGAAGAAUACAUAACAAGCGAAAAAGUGAGAGACUAUGUAGCUGAAUUAGAGAUAGAGUUCUUGCCAGAAGGAACACAUUUCAUGCAAGAGCAGUUCCCAGACAACGUGAAUCAGCUUAUUGUCAACUUCCUUGACAGGCAUGUUUUAUCAAGUAACUAAAGUCGAACCGUCAUCCAAAAGAUCUUUGGGCCUACUUUCACAAACCAAUUUAUCAACUGUACUCUUAGGGAAGUGUACUUAUGCUUGUCUUGUAUUACAUUUAUGCAUAUUUAGGCCGAGAGAUCAGGGUUUGACAUUGCAUAAGAUUAUCAAGAUUGAGUUUCCCUUGAUAGAGCAGCAGCAGCCACUAGUCAGAGCCAAAAAUACAGUAGGACUGGAAGUCUGGUUUGAGCAGUAGCUAUGAGUAAGAUUUGGUGAAUAUACCUGCUUUUUAUGCCCAGGAAUGCAGGCUCGGUGAGGGGCUGUUACCCAUAUCCAUUUACAGCAAUCGUGAAGAGAAAGAUCAUCUCCUUAAGUUGACACAUAGUUACAUGACAAAAAGUACUACAUAUAUAUACAAUUAUACAAUAUGAC